AAGUGACUUUUGAUAGCUUUGCUCACGACCCAGAACCUAAAGCCGGGAGUCAGACCCAGGAGGCACAACUGGACCAUUCACUCUCACAGACAUCUGAGUCUGGAGUGCUGCUUCCCCACUUCCCGCGGACAACUCGUUGCUUUUCCUGGUUUCCAAGAGAAAGACUUCGGCCUUGUAGAAAAGGAGAAAACAAAGACAGCAAAAGUCAACUAUGUGAUUAAGUCACUAUGAUACACCGAGGUUAACGUUGUUAUCCCUCUGGAAAAUGGCAGCCCAGAAACUCGAGAGGUUCUGAAAUGCCUGGGCUUCAUUUCCUCAGCUCAUCUCUGGCCCCUUCAUUCCCAAUGACGUAUCUACUUUCAGCACUGUGUUCUCAGACCACAGAGUCUAAUGAGAACACCAUCGGAGACCAUAGAACCUCUAAGAGUGGGUUCUGGGAUGUCAGGGCACCAGCAAGGAGAGCAUUUCCUGUGAACUCUGGAAGAAGUCAGAGGAAAAUGAGGCUCUGUAGAGCGGAGACACACCAGAAGAGGGCAUCGGAUCCCCAUUACAGAUG